GAUGAAGAACGUAGCGAAAUGCGAUAAGUCAUGUGAAUUGCAGAAUUCAGUGAAUCAUCGAAUCUUUGAACGCACAUUGCGCCCCCUGGUAUUCCGGGGGGCAUGCCUGUUCGAGCGUCAUUUCACCACUCAAGCCUCGCUUGGUAUUGGGCAACGCGGUCCGCCGCGUGCCUCAAAUCGACCGGCUGGGUCUUCUGUCCCCUAAGCGUUGUGGAAACUAUUCGCUAAAGGGUGUUCGGGAGGCUACGCCGUAAAACAACCCCAUUUCUAAGGUUGACCUCGGAUCAGGUAGGGAUACCCGCUGAACUUAAUCAUAUCAAUAAGCGGAGGA
rnacentral:misc_RNA from 1 species